rnacentral:rRNA from 1 species
GAGUUUGAUCAUGGCUCAGAUUGAACGCUGGCGGCAGGCCUAACACAUGCAAGUCGAACGGUAACAGGAAACAGCUUGCUGUUUCGCUGACGAGUGGCGGACGGGUGAGUAAUGUCUGGGAAACUGCCUGAUGGGGGGGGAUAACUACUGGAAACGGUAGCUAAUACCGCAUAACGUCGCAAGACCAAAGAGGGGGACCUUCUGGCCUCUUGCCAUCAGAUGUGCCCAGAUGGGAUUAGCUAGUAGGUGGGGUAACGGCUCACCUAGGCGACGAUCCCUAGCUGGUCUGAGAGGAUGACCAGCCACACUGGAACUGAGACACGGUCCAGACUCCUACGGGAGGCAGCAGUGGGGAAUAUUGCACAAUGGGCGCAAGCCUGAUGCAGCCAUGCCGCGUGUAUGAAGAAGGCCUUCGGGUUGUAAAGUACUUUCAGCGGGGAGGAAGGGAGUAAAGUUAAUACCUUUGCUCAUUGACGUUACCCGCAGAAGAAGCACCGGCUAACUCCGUGCCAGCAGCCGCGGUAAUACGGAGGGUGCAAGCGUUAAUCGGAAUUACUGGGCGUAAAGCGCACGCAGGCGGUUUGUUAAGUCAGAUGUGAAAUCCCCGGGCUCAACCUGGGAACUGCAUCUGAUACUGGCAAGCUUGAGUCUCGUAGAGGGGGGUAGAAUUCCAGGUGUAGCGGUGAAAUGCGUAGAGAUCUGGAGGAAUACCGGUGGCGAAGGCGGCCCCCUGGACGAAGACUGACGCUCAGGUGCGAAAGCGUGGGGAGCAAACAGGAUUAGAUACCCUGGUAGUCCACGCCGUAAACGAUGUCGACUUGGAGGUUGUGCCCUUGAGGCGUGGCUUCCGGAGCUAACGCGUUAAGUCGACCGCCUGGGGAGUACGGCCGCAAGGUUAAAACUCAAAUGAAUUGACGGGGGCCCGCACAAGCGGUGGAGCAUGUGGUUUAAUUCGAUGCAACGCGAAGAACCUUACCUGGUCUUGACAUCCACGGAAGUUUUCAGAGAUGAGAAUGUGCCUUCGGGAACCGUGAGACAGGUGCUGCAUGGCUGUCGUCAGCUCGUGUUGUGAAAUGUUGGGUUAAGUCCCGCAACGAGCGCAACCCUUAUCCUUUGUUGCCAGCGGUCCGGCCGGGAACUCAAAGGAGACUGCCAGUGAUAAACUGGAGGAAGGUGGGGAUGACGUCAAGUCAUCAUGGCCCUUACGACCAGGGCUACACACGUGCUACAAUGGCGCAUACAAAGAGAAGCGACCUCGCGAGAGCAAGCGGACCUCAUAAAGUGCGUCGUAGUCCGGAUUGGAGUCUGCAACUCGACUCCAUGAAGUCGGAAUCGCUAGUAAUCGUGGAUCAGAAUGCCACGGUGAAUACGUUCCCGGGCCUUGUACACACCGCCCGUCACACCAUGGGAGUGGGUUGCAAAAGAAGUAGGUAGCUUAACCUUCGGGAGGGCGCUUACCACUUUGUGAUUCAUGACUGGGGUGAAGUCGUAACAAGGUAACCGUAGGGGAACCUGCGGUUG